rnacentral:lncRNA from 1 species
AUGGUGUGCUUGUCUGACAGACAGGGCAGCUGAGGGGAAUAAGUCUCUGCAGCGUUGUAGUGAAGAGAGAAUACGGGACAACUGCAGGACCACAGCUCAGCCAAGACACAACCACAUGACUGAAGACAGAGCUCAUCUGGGUCAGUGUUUCAGAAAAUGUUGCCAAGAAACUUCAAAUGCAGAUUCCUGGACCUCAGUGCAAACUACCAUAUUGGAAGCUCCCUUGCAGCUGAGUUGGCCAUAUGACUGACAGCAAGCCCUGGAAUGCAGCCAGAAGUGAUGGAAGCCUCUUUCACACCAUGCUCCUAAAAUAUUCCAAGAAAUUUUCCAAACCCACUCUUUUUAGUCUGUGCAUCUGGAAGUGAAAGUUUUAGAAAGGGUAAAGUCACUUAAUGGAAAGGGCCCAGAUCUAGCCCCUCGGAGCCAAGCUGUUCAACUAGAAAUUCUGCAUUAGUAUUUGCGGCCCCAGUAAAAAAAAAAAGUCCCACAAAGAUGUAGGAUCUCACUUUGCCUGCAUUAAUUCCCUGUCCUUUGCGCAAUUUCUCCUCUCUUGGAAGGCAGAGGCAGCUUCUGAUUUU